UACGUAGGGUGCAAGCGUUGUCCGGAAUUAUUGGGCGUAAAGAGCUCGUAGGCGGCUUGUCGCGUCGGCUGUGAAAACUCGGGGCUCAACCCCGAGCCUGCAGUCGAUACGGGCAGGCUAGAGUCCGGCAGGGGAGACUGGAAUUCCUGGUGUAGCGGUGAAAUGCGCAGAUAUCAGGAGGAACACCGGUGGCGAAGGCGGUUCUCUGGGCAUUACCUGACGCUGAGGAGCGAAAGUGUGGGGAGCGAACAGG
rnacentral:rRNA from 1 species